ACAUCUAGCACAACUGAUCCGGACUCCUUGGCAGGCAGAAUUGAGGUUCUGGCUGCGAGCAUCAAAAGGCGAUCUCAGCGUCUUUAUAAAGACAUAGACGGAAACAAAGCUCGUGCCAAGGCUCGUCGCAAAAUAAGACAGGAGAAAAACAUCUUAGCAUUGGCUUUAGAAAACUACAAGACUGUUACAGGCACAGAAGCAUUAUCUUUAGAAGAGAUCCUGUCCGGUGACACAACAUUGCCAUGGCAGCAAUCAGACAGUGACUCUGUCAGUCUUGCCACAAAAAGGAGGGCAUUCGAUGGCAUUAUGACAGUAAAGAGACUGGAAGAGGAAAAGAGGAUCCUCGUAGGAGAGAUGGACCGUCAUUGGAAAUCUCUGUCAUCCUAUGAAGAUGCUCUAAAGGAGCUUCCCCGCCUGUUAUCGAGCGGCAAAUUUAAAAGUUCGUCCUGUUCCCUAACUGAUGAAGCUCUAAGAGGUCUCCAGAGCAUCAUCCUCAGAGAGCUACAGCACUUAAAACAAAUGAAACUGCAGGCAAGAGAACAUUAUCUACAGACUUUGUCAGGAGCAGAAAGUGUUAGUUUUGAUGAUACUUCUGAUGACGACUUUGGUAGUGACUCGGAAGCUUCUGAUAAUAGUCUGUAAUCAUUUGUGCAUAUACUGCUGACAAAGAUCUACACUAGCGUGACAGUAUUCGGCUCCUUCUGGAUUGACCAAUAUGUCACAAGUAAAGUAUGUUUGCUCAUAAGUCACAAAGAGACACAAUUCUGUUUAAAUUUGUUCUUGUGCUUUCAUGUUUCCAAAUUGGCAGUGUUU